AGUGAACGCUGGCGGUAGGCCUAACACAUGCAAGUCGAACGGCAGCACAGUAAGAGCUUGCUCUUACGGGUGGCGAGUGGCGGACGGGUGAGGAAUACAUCGGAAUCUACUUUUUCGUGGGGGAUAACGUAGGGAAACUUACGCUAAUACCGCAUACGACCUACGGGUGAAAGCAGGGGAUCUUCGGACCUUGCGCGAUUGAAUGAGCCGAUGUCGGAUUAGCUAGUUGGCGGGGUAAAGGCCCACCAAGGCGACGAUCCGUAGCUGGUCUGAGAGAAUGAUCAGCCACACUGGAACUGAGACACGGUCCAGACUCCUACGGGAGGCAGCAGUGGGGAAUAUUGGACAAUGGGCGCAAGCCUGAUCCAGCCAUACCGCGUGGGUGAAGAAGGCCUUCGGGUUGUAAAGCCGUUUUGUUGGGAAAGAAAAGCAGCAGGUUAAUACCCCGCUGUUCUGACGGUACCCAAAGAAUAAGCACCGGCUAACUUCGUG
rnacentral:rRNA from 1 species